GCUAGAACACGUGUCCAACCUGGCCUUAGGACAAGUAUAACCCCGGGAAACUGGGGAUAAUCCUUGAUAGGUGAGGAAUUCUGGAAUGAGUCUUUGCUUAAAGGACGUGCAGAUCACGCUUCUGUGCGUUGCCUAAGGAUGGGGCCGCGGCCGAUCAGGUUGUUGGUGAGGUAACGGCUCACCAAGCCUAUAACCGGUACGGGCCGUGAAAGCGGAAGCCCGGAGAUGGGCACUGAGACAAGGGCCCAGGCCCUACGGGGCGCAGCAGUCGCGAAAACUCCGCAAUACGCGAAAGCGUGACGGGGCUAUCCCGAGUGCUAUUCGAUGAGAGUAGCUUUUCCUCAGUGUAAAGUGCUGGGGGAAUAAGGAGGGGGCAAGACUGGUGUCAGCCGCCGCGGUAAUACCAGCUCUCCGAGUGAUAGGGACGUUUAUUGGGCCUAAAGCAUCCGUAGCUUGCUGAGUAUGUCCUCCGUUAAAUCCAACGAUUUAAUCGUUGGGCUGCGGGGGAUACUGCUAGCUAGGAGGCGGGAGAGGCCGACGGUAUUUCCGGGGUAGGGGUGAAAUCCUAUAAUCCCGGGACGACCACCAGUGCGAAGGCUGUUGGCUAGAACGCGCUCGACGGUGAGGGAUGAAAGCUGGGGGAGCAAACCGGAUUAGAUACCCGGGUAGUCCCAGCUGU
rnacentral:rRNA from 1 species